GAUGAACGCUGGCGGCGUGCCUAAUACAUGCAAGUCGAGCGAACGGACGAGAAGCUUGCUUCUCUGAUGUUAGCGGCGGACGGGUGAGUAACACGUGGAUAACCUACCUAUAAGACUGGGAUAACUUCGGGAAACCGUAGCUAAUACCGGAUAAUAUUUUGAACCGCAUGGUUCAAAAGUGAAAGACGGUCUUGCUGUCACUUAUAGAUGGAUCCGCGCUGCAUUAGCUAGUUGGUAAGGUAACGGCUUACCAAGGCAACGAUGCAUAGCCGACCUGAGAGGGUGAUCGGGCACACUGGAACUGGGACACGGUCCAGACUCCUACGGGAGGCUGCAGUAGGGAAUCUUCCGAAAUGGGCGAAAGCCUGACGGAGCAACGCCGCGUGAGUGAUGAAGGUCUUCGGAAAGUAAAACUCUGUUAUUAGGGAAGAACAUAUGUGUAAGUAACUGUGCACAUCUUGACGGUAACUAAUCAGAAAGCCACGGCUAACUACGUG
rnacentral:rRNA from 1 species